UAAUCGCUACUAGUGUGCACCUGAAUCCUCUUCAAGGUUUGUUUCCCCCCAUUUUAGUUUAUUGCUUGAACUGAAGGAAUGAAUUAUUUUGUAAAAGAUCAAAAGCUACAUUUUGAGUCUCCUAAUCUAUUAGGCCAAUCAUGGAAAAAGAUAAUGUUGAAGGCAAAUAUAAUGCUCCACCUUACUGUUUGUUUGGUUCAUUUUCUUGCUGAGUUGUGUAUUAAUUUCUUUCUUUAUGGACAAUGCUAUGGAAUAAAUUUUGUUAAUUGAGGGAUUCCAGUGGAUUUGCAUUUUCUUGACUGCGACUUUCACAUUUCACACGUGAUUUUGAAUUCAUGAGGAAACAAUAGUUUGAGGCUGUAGGGAGACUCCAAAAAUGGACAUGAAUUCAAUGCUAUAAAUAUGCACAAGUUUCUAUACCCAUAGCAAAAUUGUUGUGCAUUUCCAAUUUUCUAUUAUCUAUUUCAUUGGAUUUGGUUUAUGUUUCCUUAAACGUUAGCAUUUCUUUAGUUGUAGUGGUGAAAAAUGGACGACAUGCAUGAUGACUUCUUGGUGUUGUCUACUGAGGAUAACGUUGCGGAAAAUGUUAACAUUGUCGAAAAUGAAAUGAUAGAAGGGGAUGGUGUGAUCGUUCCUAAGGUGGGUAUGAUCUUUAAGGAUGAAAAAGAAAUGUUUGAGAUGUACAAGAAAUAUGCUUAUAACGUCGAUUUUCCAGUUAGGAACAAAUAUUCUAAAAAGAGUAAGGAUGGAGUUCUUAGAUAGGUGACCUUCACUUGUAGUCGUAAAGGUCGAAGAAGCUAUAGUACAAAGGGUUCUUUGAAGCCACAGCCAACAUGUCAGACAAACUGUAAAGGAAGGAUCUCGGCAUCUUCAAGUGUUCAAGGAAAUUGGAGAAUUAACACAGUCCACUUCGAGCACAAUCAUAAAACAAGUCCUUCAAAGUCUAGGCUGUAUCGAUGCAAUAGAGAAUUGACUACAAAUGUGAAGCGUAAGCUCAAGGUGAAUGAUAUUGUAGGAAUUCCAUUACACAAAAGGUACAACUCCGCAGUUGUCGAAGCAGGCGAAUAUGAGAAUAUGACAUGCCUUGAAAAGGAUUGUCGGAACUAUGUUGAACAAGUAAGACGAUUACGACUUGGAGUAAGAGAUGCCGCCACUAUACAAAUAUACUUUUCAAAGAUGCAAGCAUAGUGCUCCGAAUUUUAUUUCAACAUGGACCUAGACGAUGAGUCACGGUUAAAAAACGUAUUUUGGGCAGAAAAUAGGUGCAGACAAGCAUACAAGGAGUUCGGUGAUGUCGUCACAUUUGACACCACUUAUCUUACUAAUAAGUUCGACAUGCCUUUCACACCCUUCAUUGGAGUGAAUCACCAUGGACAAUCAAUAUUGCUUGGGUGUGGUUUAUUAUCAAAUGAGGAUACAGAUAUUUUUGAGUGGCUUUUGAAGACGUGGCUUCAGUGUGUAAAUGGGUCUUUGCAUAGAAUAAUUACUGAUCAGGACAAAGCAAUGCAAAAUGCAAUUCAGAUUGUUUUUCCAAAUACAAGACAUGAAUGGUGUUUGCUGCACAUUAUGAAGAAGUUGCCAGAGAAGUUUGGUUAUCACGUUGAUAAGGCAUCGAUAUUCUCGUCUAUACACAAACUAGUAUAUGAUUCUCAGUUUGUUCAAGAAUUUGAAGAAGGUUAGUGGUCGAUGAUCGACGAGUUUGAAUGACAUGAUAAUAAUUGGUUGUCGGGUCUAUAUGAGAAUAGAGGUCUCCGGGUGCCAUGUUUUUUGAAUACCAAUUUUUGGGCGGGGAUGUCAAUAGCGCAGUGAAGUGAGAGUAUGCAUGCCUUUUUUGAUGGAUAUGUCCAUUUGAAAACCUCGUUGAACCAAUUUGUAGAACAGUACAAAAGAGCUCUGUGAAAGAAGGUAGAGAAAAAACUUCAGGCUAAUUUUAAAUCAUUCACGCAAAUAUUCCCUGUGCUACAAAUUUUGAGAUUGAGAAGUUAUUUCAAUAAGUUUACACUAUGUCCAAAUUCAAGGAAGUUCAAGAUGAGUUCACGGGAAAGGUUUACUGUGACAUCAUAUCUGUUUCUGAGGGAUGUUCGGGGACUGCAUAUGAGGUACGAGAGGAUGUUAUGUAUAAUGAGCACCAGAAGAAAAGAAUAAUUUUCGUUUCUUUUCGGAGAGAUGGAUGUGAGAUUAGUUGCUACUGCCACUUGUUCGAGUUCGGAGCAUAAUUUGUAGGCACGCGAUCACAGUUUUGAUCCACAAUGAUGUCACAUUACUUUCGAAGAGAUAUAUAAUACGGAGAUGGAGGAGAGAUGUACGUAGAGCACUCACUAGGGUAAUAGUGAACUACAAUGGUUUGAUUAGUACUCUAGAGCAAUUGAGAUACAAUGAUAUGUGUCAGGCUUUUACAGAGGUAGCAGACCUUGCUACAGAUGAUGAAGUGUGGACACGUGAGGUAAUGGAUUGGAUAAACAACAAGGCGAAAGAUUUGAGGUUAAACAAGUCAAGCAGUGAAAGCAAUUUUGUGUGACAACAUAAUAUUCAGUUAGAAUCCCAGUGCUGUGAUUCGCUUAAUAGUGCAAAUGCGAGCAUACUAGAUCCAAAAUCGUCGAAAAGAAAAGGUGCACCAAGGAAACUUCGAAAAAAAAAGCCAAUUGGAGUCGAUUUCAAAGAAAUCGAAGGCAACUUCAAAUUUAAACAAAGGAAAGAGACCGAAACCAUGGGAUAGUAAUACAGAUGAGGCUACACCCAACAUUCAACCAUUUCAACAAACACAAUAUUCACAAUCAAUGUCGUUCUCGUAUUCACACCUAUUAUUGGCCGACACUAGAACUCACGUGUUUACCCAACAAUUACUGGAUAUGAAUUUGACCCCUCCGUCGUCUUUGAACAAUGUACUCGGUUCUGCGGGUAUGGGCAUUUUUCAAUCAUUCUAACUCAAUAUGUGCAUGGACAGUAUUAAUGCAGUAAUGUCCGUGGUGCACAUUAGGUCAAUCGUUGCAAUCCUGCUACUCACAUUUACUGUAUAAUGGUGGCGCAGGAACAUAGGCGAGUGGAAGUUCGGUGAUUUUUUUUUUUACUUUGUUUUUUAUCUUUUGCAUUGCUAAAUGCAAAAUGGUAAUAUGGGCUUGGAGAGCAUUGUAAUGUUUUGUUUAUGCCGUCUUACAGAUUGUCCAUAAGAAGACAGCUUCUAUGUAGUGCUUAACUUCAGUUAAGAAUGAAGACAAGAUGGACUUCAGCAGGAUCUUGGAAGCUAUUAAGUAUGAUGAGACCAGGAAGAAGUGGGGUGGUGGAGUAAUGGG